rnacentral:lncRNA from 1 species
ACUUCGGUCCUGAGCGCUUGGGAGUUAGGUUGUUUGCCGGCGUAGCGGCCAGCGCCUGAGCCCGCCCUUGAUCUUCGCUGUGGCAUGGCGGACGAGGGGAAGUCGUACAGCGAACACGAUGAUGAACGCGUUAAUUUCCCUCAAAGAAAGAAGAAAGGGCUGUGUCAGGGUGUCUUUCUCCCUUUUCUCCCUCAUUUUUCUAGAUGCUUUUUUGCCUUGUAGUUCUUUCUCUUUUUCUUUGCUUUCUCUUUCCUUUUUCUGUCUGUCUCCUAUACCUCCCCAUCUCUCCCUUGCCCCUGCCCCAUCUUGCCUUUUUCUCUUUUUCCUCCUUUUCCUUUCUUAUUCCUUUGCCUCUCCUCUUCCUGAGCCCCACCUGCUCAUCUCCCUGCCCCAACAUCCUGUGCCAUCCCUGUGGUGUGUUUGGGUCUUGGCCAAAGCCAGACCUGGCAGAACUGAUGGAUACCUGGUGAGGCAGCGGAGCCCCUGGGCUCCCACCCCAUUCCCUCCUCCCGGGGCUGCACAGGUGAGUAGGUGGAAGGUAAGGGGGGCAGGGAGGGGAAAGAGGUCCU